GCCGGAGUGGCCGAGCGGUUCUAGGCGCUGCAGUCUUGAACGCUAAGGUCGCAGGUUCGAAUCCUGCCUCCGGCA